rnacentral:rRNA from 1 species
UAGGGAAUCUUCGGCAAUGGGGGGAACCCUGACCGAGCAACGCCGCGUGAGUGAAGAAGGUUUUCGGAUCGUAAAGCUCUGUUGUUAAGGAAGAACGAGUGUGAGAAUGGAAAGUUCAUACUGUGACGGUACUUAACCAGAAAGGGACGGCUAACUACGUGCCAGCAGCCGCGGUAAUACGUAGGUCCCGAGCGUUGUCCGGAUUUAUUGGGCGUAAAGCGAGCGCAGGCGGUUAGAUAAGUCUGAAGUUAAAGGCAGUGGCUCAACCAUUGUAGGCUUUGGAAACUGUUUAACUUGAGUGCAGAAGGGGAGAGUGGAAUUCCAUGUGUAGCGGUGGAAUGCGUAGAUAUAUGGAGGAACACCGGUGGCGAAAGCGGCUCUCUGGUCUGUAACUGACGCUGAGGCUCGAAAGCGUGGGGAGCGAACAGG